UACGUAGGGGCCUAGCGUUGUCCGGAUUUAUUGGGCGUAAAGAGCUCGUAGGUGGUUUGUCGCGUUGUUCGUGAAAACUCACAGCUUAACUGUGGGCGUGCGGGCGAUACGGGCAGACUUGAGUACUGCAGGGGAGACUGGAAUUCCUGGUGUAGCGGUGGAAUGCGCAGAUAUCAGGAGGAACACCGGUGGCGAAGGCGGGUCUCUGGGCAGUAACUGACGCUGAGGAGCGAAAGCGUGGGGGAGCGAACAGG
rnacentral:rRNA from 1 species